rnacentral:misc_RNA from 1 species
UUGUUUUAUUAUUAUUAUUUUUUUAAUUUUUGUCUUUUUGAAAUUACUGAGUGUAGAUGAAAUAACUAACACGCACACACACACAUAUACAAAUAAAACUUUAGCAGCAUAUGUAGCAUCCGAGAUUUAUUGGCCAAAGCAUGUCUGUAUUGUAACUUUUAAUGUGUUUUGGAAGGAAUUUAUCUAUGUAUUUUGUUCAAGGGGGCAAAAAUUCAAAAGUUGUGCUUUGGCUUGGUGCAAAUGGAUAUGUUACUUUAUUCAAUGAGAUAAAAUAGAUUCGUUCCUCGUUUGCAAUGGAAUUUUCUAGUUCAAAUAUAUGUAGGUGUUCUAGAAUUAGUGUGACAUUUGAUUUUAUUUUCCAUAACUUUGAGUGAUUGUUUUUUUUGGAGUUUUGGACAUUAGUGAUUGUGUUAUUGGGACAUUUGUUUCUUUGAAAUCAUAAAUGAAGUCCAUUUAAGAAUUGUUUUGUACAAUAAAGUCCACAAAUAGGUGCUAAAAUGAUUGGUGGUGUAAUUGGAAUUUUGAUUUUCUCUUUAUCU